rnacentral:lncRNA from 1 species
CUGAGGUUGACCGCAGCUGCUGCCAGGCGGCGAAGUGAUCAAAGUCGGGUAACUGGCAGCUGCUGCUGGUGGAAAUGCCCACCCACCUUCUCCUCCCGCCCCAUCUCCGGGAACCGCCCUUCCUCUGCUGCCUGAUUCAAUGUGCACAGUAGCAUUACCUAUUAGGACUCUGAGAAGUCUCACAUGAAACCAACAAUAACAGCAACAGCAACAACAGAAUGAUUUGGGCUUGUUUAACC